AUUGAACGCUGGCGGCAUGCUUUACACAUGCAAGUCGAACGGUAACAGGCCGCAAGGUGCUGACGAGUGGCGAACGGGUGCGUAAUGCAUCGGAACGUGCCCAGUCGUGGGGGAUAACUACUCGAAAGAGUAGCUAAUACCGCAUACGAUCUAUGGAUGAAAGCGGGGGAUCGUAAGGCCUCGCGCGAUUGGAGCGGCCGAUGUCAGAUUAGGUAGUUGGUGGGGUAAAGGCUCACCAAGCCAACGAUCUGUAGCUGGUCUGAGAGGACGACCAGCCACACUGGAACUGAGACACGGCCCAGACUCCUACGGGAGGCAGCAGUGGGGAAUUUUGGACAAUGGGCGCAAGCCUGAUCCAGCAAUGCCGCGUGCAGGAAGAAGGCCUUCGGGUUGUAAACUGCUUUUGUACGGAAAGAAACGGCUCUGGUUAAUACCCGGGGCUAAUGACGGUACCGUAAGAAUAAGCACCGGCUAACUACGUG
rnacentral:rRNA from 1 species